rnacentral:rRNA from 1 species
UACGUAGGGUGCGAGCGUUGUCCGGAAUUAUUGGGCGUAAAGAGCUCGUAGGCGGUCUGUCGCGUCGAUCGUGAAAACUUGGGGCUUAACCCUGAGCUUGCGGUCGAUACGGGCAUGACUGGAGUUCGGCAGGGGAGACUGGAAUUCCUGGUGUAGCGGUGAAAUGCGCAGAUAUCAGGAGGAACACCGGUGGCGAAGGCGGGUCUCUGGGCCGAAACUGACGCUGAGGAGCGAAAGCGUGGGGAGCGAACAGG